ACCCACAACCUGAGGAUGAACAAAUGAUGAUUGUGGUUUUGCUUGCAUUUCCCUGAUCCUGGAGUGGCUGCUCCCUGAAGAGAGUCCUGGUCCUAGGAAUCUGGGAUUCUACCUGAAGUCACAAAGAUGAACAGAACAAACGGUAGAGCCCUGGAGAGAGGCAUCUGAGUGAGCCUGCUUUCUAACCAACUUCUCAGAACUGCCUGCCGCUGGGCUGCCGAACAGAAGUUCAAGUUCUGGGAUUCCACCCUUGAAGAGAAAUGAAUCUGCACUUAGUGAGCCCUCACCCUGUAGGUCAGGACAUGUAGUUCUUGCUAUCCUGAAACUCACUAUGUACAACAGACUGGUCUCGAACACACUGAGAUCUGCCUGGUUCUGUCUCCCCGGUGGUGAGAUCAAAGUCAAGUCUAGGUCAGAGUUCUGGGCUCAGUCGAGAUGGGAGCAUCCCAACCUUCCCAGGCACUCCCCCUCACCGUGGUGGGCACCAGUGAAGGGACAUCGGGAGUAAAGUGUCAAUAACCUCCAAACUGAACCUUCACACCCACCUACCAUCCACAAGACUGAGCUGUACAUACUUGAGUCAGCUCUUCACCUAUGAUGUCAGCAGGGUCCGGAAGGGUACUGAGCUUCUAUCAGCCAUGAGACCCUACAGGCAACAAACGCAAGGAGCGCUGUUGGCUUCCUACUGCCCAUACCCACCUCUAGAAAGCAAGCAAGGGUGUGAGGUGCAGAACCUGGCCGAUUCUCUCCUCUCCCUCUCUUAAUUUCAGCAGCAGGGAGAGCUGACCUGUUCUCACCUAGAAGCAGCAGAGCUCUGUGGGUCAGUCCCCUGCUUCCUGCCUCUCUGGACAAUGAAGUCCGCCAGGAGACCAAGUUUCAUUCCCUUUUGAAAACAAUGGGUUUGCAAGAGUCAGGGCAUAGCUUUCCUAAGGAGAGGGUUUCCUCCUAAUAAGGGUUA
rnacentral:lncRNA from 1 species